AGUGAUAACUAUCUUGAGUUUACUAUAUAAGCAGAGGUAAAGAAGAAGAAAAUAUGCAAAUCAUAUUAUAACAGAAACAUAUUCAACUUAGGUAUCCUGUAAAAUAACUGGAAAAGAAGCAAACAUUAAAAAUGUAAGAUUUUUAAUCUAAAUAUUCUAAUUAAAUAAUUCAGCCUAAUAAAAGAAAAAUCAAGGUAAAAGAGAACCAUUCUUAAAUGCAACUGAUGUCUUUUUGAAUUAUUGUAAUAAGGAUAAACAACUAAGCAAAAGAAUCAUUUACUUAAAGUAAAAAUCAGGAUGGUCUCAACUCUCUCUAUAAAUUCCCUAAGACCGUGGAGAGAGAGAGAAUUUUAAGAGGAAGGAUAAAAUUGAUUUAAGAAUUUUGUGCUCAGGAGUUCCCCUCAUGGCUCAUCAGUUAAUGAACCCGAUUAGGAGCCAUGAGGGUUUGAUCCCUGGCCUCGCCCAGUGGGUUAAGGAUCUGGCAUUGCCAUGAGCUGUGGUGUAGGUCACAGACACGGCUCGGAUGUGGUGUAAGCUCGCGGCUAUUGCUCCGAUUCAACCCCUAGCUUGGAAACCUCCAUAUUCCAUGUGUGCAGCUCUAGAAAGAAAGAAGGGGAAAAAAAAAAAAAAGAAUUUUGUGCUUAACUGAUUUGUCUUUCAUGUAUGAAAAGAACCUGAAAAUAUUCUCAGAUUUUCAAGGGUUCAGAAAAUAUUUAUUUUCCCAACCCAUAUAGAAAAAAACUUCAUAAAGACGUACUCCUGAACUGAAAGAUGGUUUUGUUUUUUAACUUUCUGGAACCACUUCAGUGAAAAUGCUGUGAUGUGUAUACGUUUCCAAUCCAAUUGCUAAUUUUUACUCUUAGUUUAUCAAUGGCAAUUGAAACGAUUUAUCACUAUGUCCUUCUUGAACAUGUUUUUUAUUUGAUUUUUAAAACAUUGCUCUUUGUUUUUUCACUCUCUUCACUAGUGGCCAUCCCUUAUUUUCCUGGUUUUUCCUCAUAUCUCCAGCUUCUAAGUUACCACAGUAUUAGAGGGCAUGGUGAUGAUCUCACCAUGUCUUUUUUUUUUUUUUGACCAUGCCCACAUCAUGCAGAAGUUUCUGGGCAAUGCUGGAUCCUUAGCCUGCUGAGCUACCAGGGGAGUCCUACCAUUUCAUAUUUUAAAUACUAUAAGCAAGUAACUCCCAAAUUUAUAUCUCCAGCCUGGACCUUUCCCUGAACUCCAAACUUAUAGAGUCAUUUUUGUGCUUAACAUUGCCACCUGGGUAUUUAGUUAGCAUCUUCAGCUUGAUAAAUACCAAACUAUUGAUUUACACCAAACCCCAACUCCCUCACCCAAAGCAACUCUUUUGCAGUCUAUGUAUUAAAUGCUAACUUUUUGCUUUUAGUUCUGAGGACAGAAGCUCUGGAGUCAUGCACUGGCAAUCUUUUUCUUAUAUUACAUAUCAAACUCCAUUAACAGAUCCUUUACCUCUACCUUCAAAUGUAAAGAAUCUGACCACUUUCUACUACUUCAAUCUCUGCCCUCAUUUCUAAGCUUAGUAUGAUCAUCCUUUGCUUGGAAUUUUUUAGCAGCUUCCUAUAUGGUCUAAAUUCCAUUUUGUUUAGCUACAGACUAUUCUAAAACUGAAGCCAGAGAGAACUUUUUAAAAGUUAAAUCAGACCAUGUCAUUUCUUUGCUCAAAACUACACAGCAGUUUCCUACUUAGGGUAAAAUUCAAUGUUUUGGGUGUUCCCUGAUGGCCCAAGUGGGCUAAGGAUCUGAUGUUGUCACUGCUGUGGCUUGGGUCACUGCUGUGGCAUGGGUUUGAUCCCUGACUCCUGGGACUUCUUCCUGCUGAACAAACCUUGAGAAGAAUCAUCUCCUGCUUCAAUCUGCUGCUGGAUAGGAACUAAUCAGAAGAGAGAGGCGGAAGACGGAGAAGGAGGGAGUCCAGGGCUUUCCCGAUCACAAAUCUCACCUCCACUCCAACUCUCUUUAUACUUUUCUUGCAAAAAUAGUAAUAGAAAUAAGGAGGUGGUAGGGUUUCCAAAAACAAAAAUCGUAACCUUCAACCAUCUGGAGAAGGCAAAAAUCCCAUCCACCGCAACUCUCAGUUCGAAAGUAAAGGUGAGUUUAAAAUCCUUGGGUGUGAGGGGUGCGGGAGAAGAUGAAGAUUCCAAAUGUAAAGCCGGUUGAAACAGAAAAGGAGAAACUACGUUCCGGCGAGCGGGGAAGACUCGGGAGUUGCUUAUCUCGAGGCGCUCGCUCUGCCCGCCCUGCUCGCCCUGCCGCGGCUGUUUACCCUCGCCGGUCGGUGUGUCUCUUUGUUGUGCUGGCUGGAAGGCUGGGAUGGUGCUCGGGGUCCCGAGUGCAGUUUGGGGGAGGAGGACGCGGAGAAGCGCGGUCCUGGGUGGGAGGUGGGGGGUGCGGUCUCAGGAGAAUGUAAACUUUAUUCGUAGCUGCCAGUGCGGGACUUCGGUCUAGCAGGGCCGCGGGCCGUGCAUCCCCCGGCGCGGGCAUACGCUGCCGCCGCGAGUCCGCCUCCUUUGUGCCGGCCGCCCUGCUCCGCCGCCCCGGCUUCGCGUCUCCUUCUUCCUCCCUUCGGCUUCCAGCGCUCAGGUUGCCACCAACAGUUUUGCUUCUUAAACAACCUCUGGCACUCUUGCGAUCGUAGUUCCUAUCCAGGAAUAUCCGCUGCUCCCCCCAUCCCCGCCGGGGUAGUUUCAAGAUACCCCCCCACU
rnacentral:lncRNA from 1 species